rnacentral:tRNA from 2 species
GCUGGCGUAGCUCAAUGGCAGAGCAACGGUUUUGUAAACCGUAGGUUGCAGGUUCGACUCCUGUCGCCAGCUCCA